UACGUAGGUGACAAGCGUUGUCCGGAUUUACUGGGCGUAAAGAGCGCGCAGGCGGUCGUUCAAGUCGAGUGUGAAAGCCCCCGGCUCAACUGGGGAGGGUCACUCGAUACUGAUCGACUUGAAGGCAGGAGAGGGAAGCGGAAUUCCCGGUGUAGUGGUGAAAUGCGUAGAUAUCGGGAGGAACACCAGUGGCGAAGGCGGCUUCCUGGCCUGCUCUUGACGCUGAGGCGCGAAAGCUAGGGGAGCGAACGGGG
rnacentral:rRNA from 1 species